rnacentral:lncRNA from 1 species
AUCAUAAAUAUUUUUCCUUAUAAAUAUUUCAUAAAUAUUUUGUGCUAUCUGGGUUACGUCACGUAUACUGUAGAUUUUAGUACUGACAGUGAUUGCGUUCGGCAAAGUAAAUCUGAGGCUAAAGAUAUAAUGAAAUAAGAGAGCACUCCGACAUUUCAGAUUUGCUUUGCCAAAAGCAGUAAGUAAAUAUCAGAACGCAGUCAAAGAGUAAUGAAGAGCAAUGAAGAUAGCACAAAUUAAUUUUCCCGACUGUCGAAUAGCCCAGGAUUUGCGUUCCGAUAUUCACUGCCACUACUGAAAUUCUACAGUGUAUGUGACGUAAACUAUAGAUUUUCAGUACUAGUAGCACGGAGGAAUAAGAAGGAGCUUAAACUCAGGCGGUUUUCCCCGGAAAAACUGGACUCGAUUUCGGGGUCGAUUAAAAUUGCUUUACUGACGUUGCGAUAUGAGCGCGCUUAUCGGAGAAAACAAAGAACUAGAGGUUAUUUCAACAGCUGAUAAAUAGCUCUUCAUAAAUAUAAUACUACUGUGAUAUAAUACAUAAGUGCUGUGACGAAAAGAUAAGCAGAUUAAGAAAAAAGGUCAAGAAGUUAAUUUAUGGUAUUACGAAUGUUGUUUUCGCAAAAAAAAAGAUGUGCAGUGCUUAGCACGAUUAAAAAUUGUAAAUGCUCAAUAUAUAUUAACUAAAGGACACGAGGUGCACGAGAAACCACUUCAUUUAAAUGAGAUUAAAAAAGAAAUAAAAGCAUCACAAUCUUUUGAAACACCGAGAGAAAUAAAGCAUAGGACUCAAAAUACGAUCAUUUACUAGAUUUGACGAACAUUGCAAACGUGGAAAAAUCAAUAGAACGUCAUAAAAAGAAAAAUAUUGGACAGAUUCCACAAAAUCUCAAUGAAUUAAGGAAGGUCACGAAUAUUCUGAACAUAACACCAGACAUAGUAAUGUCAGAUUUCGAAAAAGCAGAACGCAAAGCCUUACACAUAGUCUUCCCCAACGCAAAAAUCAUUGGCUGAUGCUUUUUCCAUUAUAGUCAGACGCUAGUACAUAAUGCUGACAAACGUGGGAUACUAAAAGGUGACAAAAAUGAAUUGGUUAUGUUUUAUUUAAUAACUUUGUUAAUAAAAUCAAUGUUUUGAGUUGAAAUUUUACGAUUAUAUUUAUCAAAGUGUUCCUCAUUAGAUUCAAAGUUAUAAAAUAUUUAUUAUAUUAUAUAUUAUUUAUAAAAAUGUAACGAUACUGCAUAAUGGGUCAAAGAGAAAUAGGGAGGGUAAUAUGGCCACCACAAAAAUAAAUGUAAAAAAAUUAUUUUUGUUUAAAAAGGUCACAGUAUUUUGUUACAAACAUAUAUAUUUAUAUAAAAUAAGUUUUUAUAUCAAAACGAUUUUUAUUCACAUUUUAAUGAAAGUUAAAUAAAAAUAACUUUAAAUUUAAAGAACCUAAUGCAUAUAAAGGAUUAAAAAAAAUUAUCUUUAAUCGAUUUAUCGAGAAAUUUUGUCGAUAUGAAGAUCUCGAAAAAAGUGACCAUAUUACUAGCACACUCAGAUGACUAUAUUGAAAACAUCCUAUAUUAUCGUUUAAUUUUGUAUAACUCAAAAUAUAUACAGCCGAAUAAAGAGUUAAAUAAUAAGAAAGUACUUAAGU